AUGAACGCUGGCGGCGUGCCUAAUACCUGCAAGUCGAGCGAACAGACGAGGAGCUUGCUCCUCUGACGUUAGCGGCGGACGGGUGAGUAACACGUGGAUAACCUACCUAUAAGACUGGGAUAACUUCGGGAAACCGGAGCUAAUACCGGAUAAUAUAUUGAACCGCAUGGUUCAAUAGUGAAAGACGGUUUUGCUGUCACUUAUAGAUGGAUCCGCGCCGCAUUAGCUAGUUGGUAAGGUAACGGCUUACCAAGGCAACGAUGCGUAGCCGACCUGAGAGGGUGAUCGGCCACACUGGAACUGAGACACGGUCCAGACUCCUACGGGAGGCAGCAGUAGGGAAUCUUCCGCAAUGGGCGAAAGCCUGACGGAGCAACGCCGCGUGAAUGAUGAAGGUCUUCGGAUCGUAAAACUCUGUUAUUAGGGAAGAACAAAUGUGUAAGUAACUAUGCACGUCUUGACGGUACCUAAUCAGAAAGCCACGGCUAACUACGUG
rnacentral:rRNA from 1 species